rnacentral:rRNA from 1 species
GACGAACGCUGGCGGCGUGCUUAACACAUGCAAGUCGAACGGUGAAGCGCCUUCCUUUUUGGUGGGUUGGGUGGGGUGCGGAAGGGUGGGGUAACCGUUGAUUACCCUGCCCCCUUCUCCGGAUUAACGCCUUAAAGUGGUGCCUAUUCCGGGUAUUCCUGGGCCGUUGCCUUAUUGGUUCUGGGAAGGUAUUUUUUUGGGUGGGGGUUGGCUUGCGGGCUAUCAGCUUGUUGGUGGGGUGAUGGCCUACCAAGGCGGUGACGGGUAGCCGGCCUGAGAGGGUGGACGGUCACACUGGGACUGAGACACGGCCCAGACUCCUACGGGAGGCAGCAGUGGGGAAUAUUGCACAAUGGGCGCAAGCCUGAUGCAGCGACGCCGCGUGAGGGAUGGAGGCCUUCGGGUUGUGAACCUCUUUCGCCAGUGAAGCAGGCCUGCCUCGUUUGUGGGUGGGUUGACGGUAGCUGGAUAAGAAGCGCCGGCUAACUACGUG